AGUUGCACUAUCUAGUCAGACUGCCUCGUAAUCCGAGGAGGAAGGUGGGGAUGACGUCAAGUCAUCAUGGCUCUUACGCCCUGGGCGACACACACGCUACAAUGGGAUGGACAACGGGCAGCCACACCGCGAGGUGGAGCGAAUCCCUUAAACCAUCCCCCAGUUGGGAUUGCAGGCUGAAACCCGCCUGCAUGAACGUGGAGUUGCUAGUAACCGUGGAUCAGCCAUACCGCGGUGAAUACGUUCCCGGGCCUUGUACACACCGCCCGUCACGUCAUGGAAGCCGGUAACGCUUGAAGUCGCACAGCCAACCGUAAGGAGGCCUGCGCCGAGGGCGGGACUGGUAACUGGGACGAAGUCGUAACAAGGUAGCUGUACCGGAAGGUGCGGCUGGAUCACCUCCUUU
rnacentral:rRNA from 1 species